GGUCUCGAGGUAGCUGCUCGAGGCCUCGCGGCGUAUGCGGCGGUGGCGGGCUGGUGUCUGGAGGUCGCCGGCGGCGGGCAACGAGGAGAAGGGUUCUAUUAGAGCGGCCGCGGGGUGACGUGGAGCUCCCUCAUUGGCUGCAGUCACGUGUUUUCGCCGUCGGGCAAUGGAGUGCUUGGACUGGGAUAUUGCGUGGAAUUGAAGUCCGCUGCUGCUGGGCUAGCUUUGACGAGGCCAACCUCAGAUACAACCGUAUUAAUAAUUUUUGAUUCAUACGUGAAAUAAUUCUUUAUUAUUAUUGUAUUUGAUACAUUUGAUAAAUUCAUAUUGCACCAUGAUGUGUGUUUGUUGUCAAAUUUAGAAAUACAUACGUGGAUUAAAAAUAGUAUUAAACACACAUGGAAGAUAUGGAUGACCAAAGAAGUAAAUCUAUUCCCAACGUCCUCCACCAGGCCACCACGUCACUUUUGGCCCAAGGAAAGAAAGAGAUCCAAUCCAACAUGUUUUGGCGCUCGAUUCGGACUGCAGCUCUAUCCUAACUUGCAACGGCCGUCACGAGCUCAUCUGGACUCCGUUUUGGGUGUUCAAGUACUCCUUGGAAUCCUUAUGAAGUCUAUUUUAGGGGCUGUUUGGAUACGAGGUGCUAAACUUUAACAGUGUCACAUCGGAUGUUUGGAUGCUAAUUAGGAGGACUAAACAUGAGCUAAUUAUAAAACUAAUUGCAGAACCUUGUGCUAAUUCGCGAGACGAAUCUAUUAAGCCUAAUUAAUCCAUCAUUAGCAAAUGGUUACUGUAGCACCACAUUGUCAAAUCAUGGACUAAUUAGGCUUAAUAGAUUCGUCUCGCGAAUUAUACUCCAUCUGUGCAAUUAGUUUUGUAAUUAGCUUAUGUUUAGUACUCCUAAUUAGCAUCCAAACAUCCGAUGUGACAGGUGUUAAACUUUAACAGGUGUUUCCCAAACACCCCCUUAAUAUAGAUCUAGAAUCAUAUCCAUAUCUAUUCUGAGGUGGCCGCAAUCACCAAAAUACUACCAAGAGGUUUUUCGUCCAGAGGUGCUGCGUCGCCUUAUUUUGGCUCAAUGGGCCGUGUAUAAUGUUGGGUCCAUGAGGGACAUAUCCUAGGGUUGGAGCACGACCCCAACACCCCCUUGGUCGUUCUCAUAGGUAUUAAUAAAAAUUAGAGCCGUCACAAAUAGAUUGGGUUUUGUUUUGUUGAAAGUUUAGCCUUUGCUACUUCAUUGUAGACGCGUGUGUCGACUAGACUAUCCAUUCUACUCAAUUCAAAACCCCAACUUUGUGAGUUCAGAUUGGUUCUCAUCUCCCUAUUUGCAAUUGAGUUGCUUGUUAUACUUGUUCUUCGAUUGCUUGCAGGACGAGUGCCCUAGUAGCCGGGUAACGCGCUCCACAAGAUCACGGCAGCUAUUGGAGGUGGUGUAUCGGUUGCUAAGGCGUAGCUUGGAAGGCUGUAGUCGGGCCGUUAACGUCGUCUCCAUCGACCAAUCGAAUUAUCCACGCCUCUCUUAUCGAAAGAUCGGGAAUCAACCCUAACACCCUAGCGGGUUCAUAUCAAGCUUCUCCAACAGAGAAGUGUUUCUGGCAGGUGGGGUCGACCCUGUGAUUUGUCUCCGUGGCAAAUGGAUCCCAAUCUGUCAUGAUUUGAAAUAUUUGAAUAUAUAAAACUUUUGAGUUUUGAGAGCUGAUUUCAGUUUAGGAGGACUCUUCACUCUUCUAGCUUCACCAAACUUUUUGAUUUUUAUCAGCAAGCCGUUUCGAGAAAUGUUCUUCCAAACGACCUUUUAGUUUUUUUUUCCUGAAAGAUCAAACGACCUUUUAGUUUUAGUAGGCAGUAUGGCACAGUUUUAGCUCCAAGAUUUAUAAAGGAUUUUUGGAAUUUGCAUGAUAGAAUAAGAUUUAUAUUCAACAAGCCCCAGACUAAUAAUAAAUUGUUCAAGAAAAAUACCUUUAAAUGUGCAUACAGCUACAGGUGAGCUGCUUCAAAAGUUCUUGACUUAGAGCCGUAGUCUUACAAAGCAUGUUUCAAAGCUAACACUCGUUUCCUUAAAAGAAACUAAUACUCGCAUUACAACCGUAUGUCCAUAUCUCAAAUAACAAGCUUUUGUUGUUCUGUUCAAGUUUGAAGCAUCAAACAAUAAGUUUAGCUUGCACUAUUUUAAGGAUGCAUGCAAUGGAGGUGCUUAGGAGAGAAAAAAAUGAUUUCUUUCGCCACGUAAUGCGCACCAAGUGCUUAUAGCCUUAUAGGAAUAAGGUGCUUACAUCUCUACCGGUUGCUUAGGGCGUGCUAACAAGGUAAAAUCAAGCUUAUUUAUGCAUCGAUUUGCAUUGUACGGAUUAUUUUUAUGCAUAUUGAUAUACUUAAUCGUGCGACAACAGUGAUCUCUCCUUGCACACUAAUACUUACUUUGUAGUGUACAUGUUCUAAAGUCUCACAUCACAUCAAAAACUUCACCUUGAAGUUCCGAACUCAUACAAUCAAGUGAUAUUAUUGGAGCAAACUCUUUUAUAGGAUCUCACGAGCUUGGAUUUUCACAACCACCAUGCAUAAAGAUUCGUGUUUCCAACCAAGUAUAGAUCAUGUUUUACACUAAUGAUCUAAAAAAACUCUGAACCAAAUAAGAAAGUUUACUGAGGUUUUUAGCAAGAGUUAUGGAAACUUCAAACAUAACGUUCCAAAAAAAACUAUUUUUUACCAGGGAAUCUUUUGGUAGUUGCAACUUCCAAUAUUAUUUUUUUUGUUGUUACAUGUGUAACUGAAAGAUACUUCAAAGUCCUAGUCCUAAUCUAGAGGGAAAAUGCUUAAAUUAUUUUCAAAAAAAUACGAGUCGAAUUGAUAAAUCGAGUUAGUUUUUAGCACACUCUCCUCUGCAAGUUGAAUUCAAAGGGCUAGUUGGAUUCAUGUCAUUACAAUUUUCAAGAAUUGGAAACUUUCCAUCGGUUGUGUCACUGACAGGUGGGGGCUACCUCAGUCACUAACAAUUGAUAAUGGCAUUUUUCAAGUUAUUAAAAAUGAUAAUGGCAUGCAUGAAAUUAUUCCAAUUUCAAAAGCGAGUUUGUUCACCAACCGUCCCGCUGCCCAACUAAAAAAAACCGCGCGGGCAGCCCGUGCCGCCCCACGUACAGCCCAGCCCACAUUCGCCCGACCGCAUCGACAAAUACUACCAACCCAAGCAACCCCCGUCCUCCUUCCUCCCAAGUCCCCACGCCUCUCCCCUCCCCUCCCCUCCCCAAACCCUACGCCUCGCCGCCCCGGGGCUUCGCCGUCCCCGCCGCCCAACCCCAUCGCGCCGCCCCAGCCCCGCCGCGCGGACCAGCGACCGCCUCCCCGAACGGAACCGUGCCGUGCGGCUGGUCUCGCGGACGGCCACCCCGACUCGGCGCCGCCCGCCGCCGCCUUUGAUGUCUCCCACCUGCGACCUCGGCUUCCUCUGGCCCCGGUCGCAGAAGAGCUCCCAAGAGGUUUCCCGAGCGGCCACUUCCGGCGCACAGAGAUUGGCCUCCCCACCGCAGUCGAGAUGAGUGGCGGCGGCAGCGGCAGCGGCGACAAGGUACCCAUCUGCCUCUCCUCCCGUCCGUGUGUUUGCAUUGGCGUCGUUACGGCGUAAUUGCGUGGUUACUGCUUGUCCGCUGCUUUGAGCGUGGGGCAUUAAAGUGCGCCGGGGUGGUUGGAUGGUUGGGGUUCGGGUGAGUUGAUUGGGUAGGGUUUUUGUAGUACUCGGCAUGACGAUUCAAUGCUGCUGCGUGUGCGUGAAUCAUACCCGCGUUACUAGAGAGCAUAAGCAGUUACUAUUGUAUCGGACUGUUUAUUCGGUUGGGAUGUUUUAGGUGAUGAUCAUUGACCAGUGCUUAAGAUAUUACUUGCUUUCAAGUUUUGCGAUGCAGCGUACGAGUAUGGCACUAGUUCUGCUGUAACUAAAAGUAGAAAUUAUAGUUUCCUUAAAUACUUAGAGCUCCUUUCCAAAGGGCUCUCAGCACAACUAGUUCCAUAUGCAGUAGAUUUUGUGGCAUGGGUUAUGUUAACAGUCAAAGUUGCCCAAGUCGUCCUGGUUUUCUACUUAUCUAGUUGCCUCUGUAUGUGACGCAGAUGUUGCUGUUUGGGUCCUUCACGGAGGACGAGACGAAGUUGUUCCAGGGUCAGCCUCUCAAAAGUCCGACUAAAAGUGUGAACAGAUCAUGGGAACUACCAGAGAUCCAGUUUGGUUCACUGAACUUUUCAGUGCUGAGUUUACAGAAAGCAUCGAGUCCUAUUUCUAAAGGUGUUGUUCUUCCAGCAAAAUCAGCAGAUGCUCAGAGCAGUACCAUUACAAGGGAGAAUGCAUGCAGCAAUAAAAAGGAAGCUGCAGGAUCUAGCUUUCCAAAUGGUGGACCAGUUCUGGCUAAUGGAUGCCCCCCUGUGAAUGUUUCUCCUACCAAUGGUGUAUUAGAGAAUGUGAAGAAGACGGAGGCUGUUGUUCCUCCAGUUGUGCCUGCCAGAAACAUCAGCAAUGCAGCACCACAUUCAGUGUCAGAGGUGGACAAGGAUGGCAUCAAAUCCACUCAAAGCAAAAAGUUAAAUAAGGAAAAGGAAAUAACUGAAAAUGGAAGCCCAAUUGUUGAUACACCUAUUGUUGCAACUCCAGCAGACGAGGCGGUCACAAGCUUAAACAAGAAAGCCUCUCAGAACAUGCUCUUGCUUCCUCAUGGUUUGAGGAACACAGGAAAUAUUUGCUUCCUGAAUGCAACUUUGCAGGCGUUGCUUUCAUGCUCGCCUUUUGUCCACCUUUUACAGGAUUUGAGGAACCGAAGUAUACCUAAGGUACCUAAACAAAUCAGUCUGAUGUAGUUUUGGUGCUUAUUUGAUUUCCUUUGUUCUGACCAAUUGUUUCAUUUUAGGUUGGCUACCCAACUCUCAAUGCAUUUGUUGAGUUCAUCUCUCAAUUUGAUGUGCUUGAUGAGUCAGUUAUGAAGAAAAAUGAGAAAGCUGUUACAGUUGCUGCAAAACCACUUAAUCCUGCCAUGUUUGAUGCUGUUCUCAAAAACUUUACACCAGAUGUGCCGGCUGGAAUAUCUGCUCGGCCAAGGCAAGUGCUUGCUAGUUCUGUUCUUAGGCAUGUUUUUUUUUCUUUAUGAGGGAGUUUAGCUCCUAAAGUUGUGGAUGACGUGCCUGCUAGUUGAAUAUAGCAAUUGAUCAAUUAUUCUGUUGUGUUGAGGCUUUAAUCCCAUCGAGUCUAGCAAGUAGCAACACCUGGAUAACAUAUUGAUAGAUUUUUAGCUGAUACCACAAAUGCUUAUAUAUCUUGAUUGUUCUCUAUCGGGGACUAAGUUUUGCACAUCUAUGUUGGAAGUUAUGGAUACAAUGGUGGUCAUGUAUGAUCAUUUCAAAGGCUCCCAAAUGGUCUGAUGGCAUUUGAUGCUGCUGACUGUGUUAUUGAGUUUAUUCUGACAGUUGUUUGUACAGAGUAUAGACAGUGUGCAUGCCGUUAUAUGUUUACUUUGUUUUUUGGUUAAUGUCCAGUUUAAAUUGUUACCUCCCUUGCAAAUGAAGCUUUUGUUUCAGUUUGUGAUGCUAUACACUUCUAUGUUCUUCAGGCAAGAAGAUGCUCAAGAGUUCUUAAGUUUUGCCAUGAAUAGAAUGCAUGACGAACUGCUGAAGCUUAAUGGCAAUGUUUCAAAUGCAAAGGAGGGUAUGGUUGUUUCUUCUGCUGAUGAUGAUGCUUGGGAGACUGUUGGACGAAAGAACAAAUCUGCAAUAGUUAGAACUCAGAGUUUCGUUCCCUCUGAACUAAGUGCUAUUUUUGGGGGGCAGUUACAGAGUGUUGUGAAAGCUGCAGGUAAUUUGUAUUGUCCUGAGAGAGAGAACAUGCUUUUUUUCUUGGUAAAAAAAACUGAAUAGAAUCUUGAUAUAUGAGAGAACCUUUUGGAAAGCUGUGCUUUUUCUUGAUUUGUCAUGCUCCCAUGAAAACAAUUUUAGAAUUUUUUUGUAAUCAAUUCCCAACUCUGUAAACCUUGCUUUAUUGGGCCCAUUUAAUGUGUGCUGAACAACUCCAGUUGUUUGUUGUCACCUUUUGCCUCCUGUGCAUGCUGUUAUAGCUUCUUCUUCUUUUUUGUUUCUACCCAGCCCAAUAUCAGAUUCAUUAGCUUUUACAGCAAGAACAUCCUAUAUGUUGUCAAUUAAAUCUGCAUAUGUUGUAUCUUUACUAGAACAGAAAAGAAUUUAGAACUAUUCUGUGUCCUGUAAAGUUGCUCAUCAAGUUAUCAUUAUUCCCAAUUUUGUGUUGUGAUUGCCAUUGAAGUUUUGCUGAAAUUGCAUGUAUAUGCAUGUCUAUCAGUAGUCAGUGCUGCUCCUGCAAUCCUGUGAGUUAAAAGAGCUCCAUUCAAGUACUUCUAUUUUUCCCACUGGAAUAUGAUCUCAUGAUUAGUUGGUAACCAUAGGGUGCAACUUAUGCUUGAGUAGGCCCACUUGUACUGUUUCCUACCAACCUUCUCACUGUUGUGUAUAUUUUCUUUGCACCUGCCAGGUAACAAAGCAUCGGCUACUGUUCAGCCCUACCUACUGCUCCACCUCGAUAUAUUCCCAGAUGCAGUUCAGACACUUAACGAUGCACUUAAUCUUUUCUCUACUCCUGAGUCUUUGGAAGGAUACAGAACAGCUGCUGGAAAGGUAAUACCUUGUCACUUUGUGUUUAGUAAUUUGAUCUUGAAUUUCAUUACACACAAUACAAGUGAUGCCAUCCAUGAGUAUCAUGCAAUGCAUUUUGCUUGCGAUACUGCUUGUGAAGACAAAAUUGUAAAAUGUAUCUUCUAGUUUGUUUUACGAGAUGCAUUCUAGAAUGAUUUUACAUAUUUUUUUGGACUUGAAGAUGGGUACAUGCCUUGUCAGUUACCCUUUUAUCUAUUUGAUUGUUCGUCUUUUGAAAUUGCUAUUUGAGCUGUAGUUUUUCUAUAUUUUUUUUAUUUUCAGUGCCAGAUAUCUCUUCUUUCACAAAAUAGAUGCAAUAACUUGUUGCAAUCAGCUACAAUUAUAAUGUAGUAUCAUACUUGAUCUUGCAGGCUGGUUUGGUGACGGCUAGAAAAUCAUUCAAGAUACACACGCUUUCAAAGAUAAUGAUACUGCACUUGAAGAGGUUCAGUUAUGGAAAUCAUGGGAGCACUAAAGUUUAUAAGCCACUCCAUUUCCCUCUCCAACUGGUCCUUAAUCGUGAUCUGCUGAGCUCACCGUCAUCAGAGGUGAUAAUUUGCUGGACAUGCCUCUGCAAAUGUUUCUUCGAAAUAUUUGUUGAUAUCUUCUAUUGGAUCAAUGUUUUGCAUGUGUAUGCAUGCUUUUAUGUCACCAGUUGCCUCUAUUGUCAUAUUUGUUGGACAUUUAGGAUCAGUAUAUUUAAGCAUGAAUUAAGUUUGUACAAUCACUGCAUGCAAAUCCACUUGAGGCAAAUGUACAUGGUCAUAACACAUUGAGAUGACAUGCUGUUUAUCUUCGUCAUAUGCAGGGAAGAAAAUAUGAGCUUGUUGCGACCAUCACUCAUCAUGGGAAGGACCCAUACAGGGGGCACUACACUGCUCAUUCAAAGAAUGCCAACGGUCAGUGGCUUCGGUUUGACGAUGAUGCCGUCACACCUGUGGGCCAGAACGAGGUCUUGCAUGACCAAGCAUAUAUCCUGUUCUACAAGCAAGUCUGAAAGUACUACGCAGUUGAUUAGUAGCCCUUAUUGCUGCUGCUUAAACAGCCAGAUAUACCGUCUAACUAUGGUACUGUUAAUGUAGCUGCCGAGCGACCGCAGAGUAUCGUGUUGAGCACCCUGGUUGCCUGUGUUUAUUAUUUAUAUAUGCUCGGUUGCAUAGCGAGAGGGGGAUUUCUGUUCAGCCCAUUUUGAGGUCCAGUAAAAUUUAACUGAGCAUCGUUGUAAUGAUCAGCAAGUAAUCAUGGGAUGUUAAUCAUGGUCACCACUGCCGCUGGCAAACUGCUGGAAAAGGUUGUGCAUAGAGUAGUUCUGGAUUGGUUGGAAGAGAAUACUGGAGCACUGGCGUGGCCAUGUGCCUGUCUUCCUUUGAGAGAAUGUCAAGAGCUGCAGGGCAUGAUUAUCUGGUGCAUGUGCCUUGCAAGCAUGAUUAGCCUGUUUGGAAAGCUUCAAAUCAUUUCGUUUUCAUGGUGGCAUAGCCCUGUCAUGGAGCCCUUGCCCUUGACUGCAACAUACCAAAGGAAGGUGUGAAGUUAGUACGAUGUCAUCCGACAUGAACUUAUGUUUUGUUUUGCCAAGCUUCUGCCCACAGAAUUUUGGCUUAGUUGUUUUUCUUUUCUUUCUUUCUUUGGGACAAGGAGUUCUGUUGAAAGUUGAAACCAAUGUUCCACAAAGCCAUGAGAGGAAUUGUGAAAAGAUAGCGACGAAUGGACUGAACUGGUUUUGACACCAGGCAAGCAGAUUUCGCAGAAGGUUAGGGAAGCAAGCUGCACUUUUGUAGUCUCUUAUUUUAACUGCAAUCGAUAAGGCCUGAUGGCAGUCAGUGCGGCUGUGGCAGUCGUAGGUUUCUUGAUUCUCAGAACUUUGUGGCAUUAUCGAGCAAGCAAAUUCAGUUGUUCAUCAGUGUUUUUUGCGACAGAAGUUUCAACGAUCAAAGUACAAAGUUCAUUUUUUCUUCACUGUAGUCACUACUAGACAAAGUAGACAGUAGAUGCUGACGGCAGAGACCGCUAGGCAUCCAAAAGGCCAUCUCGACAGUUGCUCAUGUUGCUGCUUGGCUUCAUGUAGGAUUUUGAAGCCUUAACAACUCAGUGCCAUCUGCACUCGAUAAAAGUUGAAAUAAAGCAAAGCUAUCUGAAACAGAGUGAAACGAUAGAAAAACAGAGCGAGGCAGAGUGAAGCGUCCUGAAAUAGACCAGGCAACCUAAAGCAGGGCCAAAUCCGCUGAUCAAUACUCCCAUCCUGCAGACAUCAAUUUGAAGCCGUUUGCUCGUUUCCAUCUAGCAUCUAUCAUUUGCUUGAGUGCUGCACCAAUUUGAGAGAUCCAAAGGAGCUCUCAGUCCCUUUUGUGCAGCGACACAGUGCUACCUUUCGACACUACCUGAUGCUUGUACCACCGUGUACCAUCGCUCAACACUCAUCACCAUCCCCAUCAGCUUUUCCUAAGAACUAGAUCAAGUCUUACUUGAUCAUCAAUCGCCUGUAAACCUCACGAUGGCAUUGGCAUCGUCGAAGGGAGGAGCGAUUCAAGCAGAAUCACCAUCAUCGCAAUCAGAGAAACGCAUUUUCAGACUAGAAUUCAGAGGACACAUUUCCAAACAAAGAGCAAAGAUGAAGGGAGAGGCGCCUGGUGAAGAGUUCUAACAUUAGACUGCUUGCCAUCUUAUAUCCAACAACAUGAACAAGGAGGAGGAGGAGGAGUAUGAUUCUACAUCACUCCUUUUUUUUGGUUGUUUUUUUCUCUUUUCUAAGACAGCUCGAUCGACCUGACCUGAACUGAACACGAGAAACUACAAGGAGAGGAGAUCACCAGCAGACGCCUUGGUUGAUUCUCUCCUCUCUCUUUUUAGUUGUAUACACAGAAACAGACUACUAAGCUUGAAGUUACACUGGACAGCAGCGGCAGCAGCCAUCGUCGGUCGUCGCCAUGAGACGAAGAAAGGUCUCUAGCGAGGCUGGUGGAUGACGCGGCGCGCGGCGCCCCUGACGCCGACGUGCUGCGCGGGCUUGUCCGCGUGCCUCUGCUGCUGGGCGCGCGGCGAGGGCGCACCGACGACGGCCCUCGGGGAUCCGAGGCUGACCGCUCUGAGCACGUCGAGGUCGUACGCGGCGGGCUUGGCUGCCUGGUGGUGGUGGUCGGGGGCGUAGAAGAGGUCGUCGGUGCCGACCAUGUCGAGCAGGUCGACGGAGUCGUCGGGGAGGAGCGCGGCGACGUCGACGUCGGCGUCGUCGGGGAGCGAGAGGAGGGCGGCGUCGUAGGCUGCCUCGUGGAGCUGGUGCUGUCGGAACCAGUGGUCCCGGAACCAGGCGGUGGUCUUGACGAGCUCCCACCACUCGGGCGAGAAGUCCUCCACCUGGCGGUACGCCGCCGGGAUGAAGAGCGGCGCGUUCGGGUUCAGCGACGACGACGCCAUGGCCAUGGUGCUCAUCCUCGGUUCUCCUUUCUACUACCUGGAACAAGCACGGCAAGAAAAGCAGUCAGCUUUAGCCUCAGCUUCAGCGCAGAGCUCGUGCUCGUGCUCGAGCUACAGCAGCAUCCCCGAUCCGAUCGUCCGAGCUCAGAUCCGGAAGGGGAAAUCGUUAACGUCACAGAUCUGAGAAAGCUUUUCUGGUGGUGUUCGUGCUCACCUUUUCCUCGCUUGGCUCCGCUUCGCUUUGGACGUGCCGAGCGAGCGAGCGAACAGGGGGAAUAUCCCGUGCAGUUCUGGGGUGCCGUGCCGUGCCGUGCCGCGGUGGGGAGGGGGCGGGUGUUUAUAGCCAGGCACCCAGGCGCGGUGCGACGACGACGACGAGCCGAGCCAGGCCGCGUGGGGUGGCUUCGGGUGGUGGUGGUGGUGGGUGGUGGCGGAGGGCCGGAUGGGGAGUGGUCGGCUUCGGCUUGCUUUCUCCUCGGGGACGCGGUGUGGCCAGUGGGGUAAACGGCUGGCGCGUCUCGACCGGAUUUUCUAUGGGCGCCCUGUGGUUCGCGGCGCUCUGGUUGGUCUGUGCUGGUGUGGUGGUGGGGGAGAAGACGGGGAGUAGUUUAUUGGGCACGAAGGUUCGUGGCUGAUGAGGACGAAACGAGCUGGGAGGCGGACGUACGUACAACGUGUAAACCGUGGCAGCAGUCAACCGUGGCCGCUGGUUGUGUGGUUACAUAAUUCCGAGUUAUGAGCUAGCAUCAACUUUAGCCGAUCUUUUCUUUUAAAACAAAUUCUGACGCUGAGCAUGCGUAUCUUGAUAUUAAGACAAGUUAUGGUACCACUACUAUUAUAAAAAAAUCUGACCACCUGACCCGGUCUCAAACUCAAAUCCAGGUGAAUAGUUCGCCCAAGAUUCCACAGCAAACAUAAUCUUGUUUUUCCCAACUUAACAAACUGAUAUUUUCAUACUUUCAUAUACUAAAAUAUCUCACCUCUAUGUUUUUCUAUAUUAAAAAAUACCAUCUCUAUGUUUUUAAUUGUUAUAAGACGUGUGCUUGUCUAGACUGACCGACUGAGCUUAGACACCGACACCGACACCAUUCGUAGGAGGAAAAAAAAGGCUCGCGUGCCUUUGUUUCAAAAACGAUAUUAAUUUGUCGAAUAGUGGCCUGCAUGAAUCUGCUCAUUGUUAUGCAUGAAUCUGACCAAAUAAAUAAGAUCCGAAAUAACUUAGUCCAUCGAAUUAAUUAAUUAAUUAAUAUUCAAGGAUGUAGCAUACGGCAUCAGGAACUAAACCACCAGGAUUAGGAAUGGACCCAAGCACGCUACAGACAAAGACGUCGCGAUCCGAAAUCGGCACGUCUUAAUAAGCGAGAUAUUUAAUACUUAAUUGCAAAUUGAUUCGGUGAAACGUUCUUUUUUUUUAGCCAUUGGGGUGAUGGCAUCAAGACAAAGUUGGGGGGCAGUUGCCACUUUGAUUUCCACGCAAAAUUCGUCAUCACUGAUUUUCAAUGGCUUUUGGGAGUACGUGUAGAGGCAUCGAGCGUUCAGCGAUUUUGAUCGCUCGUAGUACAGUACAGUGGAGUGGUUUUGCGAUAGCCAUUGGCGUCUGAUCUCGCAACCUUUUGAGCUUUCGUCGUUCAAGAGUCAAAAUUAAAAGAGGCUAGAAGAUACAUGCGACCCUCAAUUCAAGAGUCAGAUUUUUGAAUAACCGUGCCGAGACUCGACAUAUUUUACGAUCCAAACUUCAUUCACGCAUGUUUAAUAUAGGUGUGAUGUAUGCAUGAAUAAUUCUGGAUGGUGGGGUUCAACCAAUUUUCUUGUACCAUAUGGUUCACUCCUAUUAGUAGAAUAAUGUAUUAAGUGAGAUGGUUUCAUCAUGGAUAAUUGGUACAAUUCACCAACCAAAUAAAAGGAGGGAAAGCUUUACCAGUUGUGCGGACGGAUUAGCCUUAAUUAACUUAUUAGUAAGUAAGAUCUUGGCUUUGUAUUGCCGCUUUUCCUAGAUAUAGCAUAGUAGUGCGUUUGCGAUAAGAUUGAAUUGAAACUCGAAGUGAGAGCAUGCAUUUCCAGCCAUACGGAGAGAAUUACCCGCCUACCUGGAUGGCCUGCCUAGUAGUUCUUUUGACCUGGAUGGUCCGCCUGCCUAGCUGUUAGCUUCAACAGGUUGCUAAGCAUUAAACAGUGGAGCUGUAUUUGUUUAUAUUUAUUUAAUUUGAACCAUUGGGAAAAGGGAACUGCUAAAUCUGCCUGUGCUCAUUAUUAUUUUGAACCAUUCCAUACAUGAAUCAAAUGAUUGAAGCAACCGAAUCAAAUGAUUGAAGCAACCGAAACACCCUACGUGUAAGUGUGUAACACAAGUCGUGUUGUGUGCGUGGAAGGCGUGCAUUCUUCGGGGGUGUUUGGCACAUAGGGGCUAAAAUUUAGCACCUGUCACAUCGGACGUUUGAUACUAAUUAAGAGUAUUAAACAUUGGUUAAUUAUAAAACUAACUGCACAACCCCUAGGCUAAAUUGCGAGACGAAUCUAUUAAGCCUAAUUAGUCCAUGAUUUGACAAUGUGGUGCUACAGUAACCAUUCUUUAACGAUGGAUUAAUUAGACUUAAUAGAUUCGUCUCGCGAUUUAGCCUCGGAAUUCUGCUAUUAGUUUUGUAAUUAGCUCACAUUUAAUCAUCCUAAUUAGCAUCCGAAUAUCCGAUGUGACAGGGCUAAAGUUUAGCCCAUAUCUCCCAAACACCCCGAACUUAUCCUCUCUCGGAAAAAACGCAACUGGUAUGCGCAUGUUGACGGCUUCUUUGAAUCAAAAGUCACACCACAGCGACUGGAAGACGACUCGAGCAGGGUCAACAGGCGGAACGUGGAAGCGCCGCAGAUGACACGACUGACCCGCCGGUCGCAUGCGUUCUCACGCCAAAUUCCCCCGUCCCCGCCGGUGCCCGGCGAGGUUGUGCGACGCCGACGCCGACCUCGAGCGGGCGCGGUGGGCUGGGAGCCUGGGAGCCGGAGAGCGCCCACGAUCCCGUCCCGUCGGAUGCGCUGCCCGCCACGUAACGCUCGUACGAUUGGUCUAUUAUCCUCCAAGAUGAUACUUCCUGCGAUCUCGUCUGAUCGAACUGAUUAUGGGAAAAAAAAAAUAGAAACAAAGAAAGAAGAAGGAUUGAUUAUCGACGAGGCAGCAGCGAUAUUUCUGCGUCGUCCGUCCCACGGUCCCACCCAUGACCAUGAUCCCAUGUUACCCGGGGCUCUGCAUGUGCCAACCGCUGAGCAAUCAUUGGACGGGCCGUCCACGUCAGAGCGCGAGCAUCGCUCGCUAGCUAGCACUAAACAACCGGAUAAGCACGGGCGCUUUGGCUCGAUUCGCGCUUGCAGCAUGCAGUUGGGCAUGCAAACCGGAUCCGUUGAUUAAUUUUGUAAGUUAGGAUCACAUCGCAUGUUUAAUACCUCCUACCUGGAGGUCUAAACAUAAACUAAUUAUAAAAUUAAUUGCGUAAAUUGGAUUAAUUCGGGAGAUGAAUCUAUUAAACUUGAUUAAUUCAUAAUUAGCAUAUAUUUACCUAGCGUGAUCAAAUCAUGGACUAAUUAGAUUUAAUAGAUUCGUCUCGUGAAUUAAUCUUUAUUUAUUCAAUUAAUUUUAUAAUUAAUCUAUAUUUAAUAUCUAACUUAGAUACGAUAGGAAUAAAAGGAUCCGAACACCCCUUCAGCUCGAUCGUCUCACUGACAGUGACCGGAUCACUGGACCACCGCCUCUAUGUACGGUCACACCACACCAGGAGUCGUCGCUGUCUUUGUUUCCUUUUCUCUCUUUUUGAUCGAGUCGUCGUUGUAACCGGUGAUGUGCACGCGGUAGACGGCCAAUAGUAAGAUAAAAGUGAUUCUGGGUAUUGUUUAGUUGGCAAAGUUUGGAGGUGUCAAAUUACUGUUACAGCACUGUAGCACACUGUAGCGUUUCGUUUGUAUUUGUGAAUUAUUGUCCAAAUAUUGACUAAUUAGGCUCAAAAGAUUCGUCUCGUAAAGUACAACAAAACUGUGCAAUUAGUUUUUAAUUUCGUCUACAUUUAGUACUCCAUGCAUGUAUCACAAGUUUGAUGUGAUGAGGAAUCUUUUUUUUUUCAUAGUGUCAAAGUUAGGAGUUGGGAUGAACGGACCUGGUCCCGCUAGGAGGCACGGCUGCCUUGUUCUUGAUGAUCGUGAUAAAGCUGCUGCUGUUUUGACGACGCUUCCUGCACUUGGUCGACAGUGACAACGUUACUGUCGCUAGCCGGCAGCUUCCUGCACCUGGACGGGUGCAGCCUGAUCGUUUCGUUGAAUAAUCGGACAGAUGGAACUGCACUCUGCAUUCGCACUGCAUCCACUCCUUUCGCGCUAAGCCAAUGACACGUACGGAUGGAGGAGGAAUAAUCAAUCAGGAGGCGAAGUGAUUAUUCCACUGAUUGGCCUCGUCGUCGGCGGAGCGAUGAUGAUGGGAUUUAGAUGCGCCGGGUGAUCGCGCGAGGUCUGUCGGGCAGAAGCAGCAGCAGGAGAUGAGGAGAAAAGGAGAGAUCAAUCCAUGCGCCCUCCGCUAGCUAGCUUUUUCGUAAAGCCACAGGCCAGCCGACAUCACUGCAUGCAAUUGAAAAUGAAGUCGGUGGGUGGGUGUACUGGUGUUUGUUAGAGUUUGAUCUCCACCGAUCGAGUCGGACCCUAUCUCACGUCCUGAUUGGGGAUGCACAAUCAACUCAUGGUUGCGGUUUUCCAUCAAGCAGUGCUAUAAAGAGUGAGGUGAGGUGGGCUGGGGGUACGCAUGCCGAAGUUCGCCGCGCCCACUUGCCCACCUAACAGAAUUGAGAACCCGAUCUACUAGCGCUGUAAGCAGUGGGAAGUUCCACCGCCACUCGCGUCGCGCUGCCACCGCCCACACUAGCCAUCGACGCCACCGUCACCGCCCAUGGCCAGCUCUUCUUCUAAGACCGAUGGUUGUUUUCUCUAAUCUCUGUACUAUCUCUCUCUGCCUCUCGAUUUCUCUUGAUCAAGACCCACUAGAUGUGCUGUCGUUGAUCACUUAUUUGAGUAACUAAGUUAAGUGCUAAGCUAGUUGAGAUCCUUCAAUGGUAUCAGAGCCGUGUUUUGACAAAAAUCUAGUUUGGGGAAGUUACUCUCGCGAUUAAGAAGGAGGGGAAUCGAAUCAAAGAGAGAACCUAACCAUAAAGACGACGACCGUCGGACUUCAACCGACGGCCGCCGGUAGUCAAACCCUAACCCUACGAGAAGAUCCAAAGAAAGGGAAACGGGGUUGGGGAGCUUAUCUUUAUUCCAAAUGUCACCGGAUCCGCUCCGGGAAGAAGCCAGGCUCCGCCGUCGACGCUUGCGCCGCUAAGGGCCUCCUCGCAGCGCCGCUCGACGGCAAUGCACUCACCCUUGGGUGAACGCAUGCGCCGACAAAGGGGGCUGUGGAGGGGCCACCAAGGCCGCUAGCGAAGGGUGGAAGGGGGAGCCGCGCGCGUCGUCGAGCUUCGAUCCGCUCCGCUGACGGCUUUGCCCGCUCCGCUUGGUGCCACCACUCACUCGCGCUUACGGCGGAGAAGGAAGGAAAUGACCUAGGGUUGACUGGGCGCGACGCGGAAGGGGGUUUUGUUUCCCCGAAAACGAUGCUCAGCCGUUGAUUACGAAUGGACAGCCGAGAUACGUCGGGCCGGCUUUCGGCCAAGACGGAAGGUGGAAUUGGCGGCUCAGGCCUAGGCUAGCCUAGGAAAGCCACACGGGCAAACACGUUAAGCAGGGCGGGUCAUAUUGUCGCGUGGGCCGGCAGAACCGUAAACUUUGAGCCCUUUUUUUCCUUUUUCUUUUUUCAGCGAAUUUACGUAUUUUUCCUAGAAAUUGAUUAAUGGCUAAAGUAAAAUUAGUUUUUAAGGAAUUUUUUUCCUGUGGGUAAAAUUCAUGAAUUAAGUUUGAGGCUCAGUAAGCUUCCGCUGUGUUAAGUUUAAGUUAAGUUGAAUUUUUGGCAUUAUUUUGCCAAUUUAAGCAUUAAGUCAAGAUUUUUUAUUUAUCUUUCUAGUUAAAUUGGAACCAACGGGAAACUUUAAUUAGAAAAUAAGUAAUUUUUCUGAGUAUAAUAAUUUUAUCUACUUACCAACGUUGUUGAUAAGAUUAUUACAGUAGCAAGUUUUAUUUUGUCAUUAUUGAUUCUAUUUCUUCCCAACGGUGAUGUAGAAUUAAUAUUGAUAUUUCAUGUUUUAAUUCGACCUACGUGGAAUUAAUUCAUGUGUUGUUUUGUUUCUGAAUUUUAUUUUUCAUGCAAUCCAUUAAGUUAUAUUUCGUCCAUAGAGCCUCACAAUGGAGGGAUUUACGACUCAUGGUGAAAGAAGAUUGAGAUAGCGCUUGCGCUGUCAGACAUUGAUCUCACACUGACAACUGAUUGCUCCGUUGCUCCUGAGGACCCCGUGAGGGGUGAAAAUGAGCGAUGAGGAUUUCACCACCCGAGUACGUGAGCAUGCACCACCUGUUAGAGCGAAGUAUGAUCUUGAUCGUGUGCAAUGGGAUCAAUCGAACCGCAAGUGCUUGAUGGUGAUUAAGAGCUCCAUUGAGGGGGCAAUAAGGGAAGCAAUCCCAGAAUGUACCACCGCUACUCCCUAAGGAAGGUGGAGAGUUAGUUUACUGGCUCUUCAAAAGCUUAUGCAAGCACUCUUAUUAAGGGCUCCUUUGGCAGGGCUCCUCGCGAGGGGCUCCUCGUGCGGAGCCGGAGCCGGAGCCGCGGAGCUACUUUUUUGGGCUCCUCCAUGCAGGUCUAAAACGGCUCCGGCUCCUCCCAAAUGUGCCAAAAAAUGGCUCCGCGGUCAAUGCCGUUUGGUGCGGCUCCGGCUCCUCCGUGCUUCGGUAAGCGCACGGAGCCGGAGCGGGAGCCCUGCCAAACUGGCCCUAAGAUUCUUGUCAUUGAGAAAUAUACUGGUGGAGGGGUAAGAGAGCAUAUAUUGAGGAUGAGUAACAUGGCAUCCAAGCUCAAGCCUAUGGACAUGGGGCUCAGUGAUGAGUUUCUAGUUCAUUUAAUUUUUGCCUCUUACGAGCAGGUCCCACUGGUCAUUGAGAUAAAGAGGAGGUAGGCUGGGCCGGGAAUUGGAUAGGAAGGAUUUUGGCCCAAUUAAACUAGCUCGGUUUCUAAUUCAAACGAAAUCGAAUUCAAAUGAAUUUUGAAAUAUAAUUUUCAUCCAAUAAAAACCUAGUGCAAACUAUACGGCAUGAAUGCACAAAACAAAAUUAUAUAACCUAUAUUGAUUAUUUAUUUAGAAAAAUACAUAUUUUUCUAUAAUCAAAUGUUUUGCAACGAACUAAUUGUUGGAAAAUUUUAGAAAUACGAGAAAAAUCUAUUGUUUUAUUAGUGUUAAUUGUUCACAUCCCAAAAUAGAAAUUUUGGGGUGUGACACAUGGGACAUGGCACGGGAUGAUGGGACGAUGGCAGGAGAGAGGACGAUGGGUGGGUUCCAGUUCCUCGCUUGCCGGCCGGCUGGGUCGCCGUCGCCGCUGCCGAUGCCGGAGCGAGUCCGUGCCGGCCCCCCGUACGAAGCCGCUGCGAGCGAGAGGGCGCGGCGCCCGGCUCGAGAAAUCCCUUUCGAUCGCGUGGGUGCCACUCCGGCGUCUCCGCGCGGGCCACCUCACCUGGUACACGCGCGCUGUGAACGCGUGACCGCGCCGCGCUGCGAAAUCAUGGUCCCGUCGAGCGCAAUGAUCCGUCAUCGGUCGAUCCUGUCCAGGUUCCCUGCUGCGUGCCGUGCCGUGGAUAACUGCCGGCCGGUCCCAACGGCACAGUCCUGUCUGCGAUUGAUGCUACGCUUUUCCUGUGCAAGCGCCAUUGAGUGCGGUGUUUCAGUCUUUCAGAGGUGCAGGUGCAACAACCGGGGGGCGGUGAGCGCGGAUGAGGCAAACACACGGCACGGGACGGCGGUUUUCGAUCGCUCAACCCUCAGUAUCGGAUCAUGUCUUUUGCUCAUACCAAAGCAAGCUGAUGAUAGACGAGGAAUCAUCUGUCGUACGAUGGAGGCAUGGAGCAAUGGAGCAUGUAUCUCAAUCCUCACAAACUAGCAUCCAUGGCGAUGGUCUAAGGUGGUGCCCCACAGAACGGCAUUAGCUUUGCUGUCCAGGGGGUAGUGCUGCGCCUAGGUGCAGGACCAGCGAACCAACGCGACGGCCAACGGUAAAUGAAGCCUUCGGGCACGGUACACGCGCUUGGUCUUUACAGUGUUCGAUUCUUCCGGCUUCUACUGCAUCAUCCACACUCCCUCCGUUUGGUGGUCAUACUGUACGCACAUGUCGUUUCCGACGUAGCUGGAAAAGGCUACAUGGGUCUUUCCUUGCUUGUGCUCUACUGCUCUGCACAGCUCUCAUCUCCUGUGCUUGCGCCUCACGCGGCAUGUGAGGACGAUGCUGCUGCCCUGCUGGGAUAAGCGCCCGUGCCAUCGUCAGGGGUACAAGCACAGGAGUUCCCACUGCAUCCCAGUCCAGUCCCUACGACCCACCGAUGGCAGUCGCUACCUUCUUGCCCCUGCCGCCCUCUUCCUCUUCUCCCAUGAUAGCUCCUCGAAUGAAUGAUCGUACACACUGCAGCGUGAGAAGCUGUAGCUACUUAUGGGUAAAGAUGGAGCAGCAGCCGCAUGGAAUGACCGCAGCGACCGGCUUGAUUUCUUCACCCACCGUUGUUACAGCCCGGCCACCAGUGAUAUAAUUGAUCUCACGUCCUCAAUUAGUACAUCCAUGGAGUAAAGAAAAACAAUUAGUACGUCCUUGUUAAGAUUCAUCGUGACGGCCGGCUCAUAUAUGGUGCCUCUGGCCAGGGUGUUAGUGCAGGAGCAGGCAAUCUUCAGAACAUGCGAAGUGCUCUUCAGGCCGAACGGGAAGCAUGUCGAUCUACAAAACCAUUUGCUAUGCAUUGCAUCUGGUUCUGGCAUGGGCAAGAUCAUCAUUGAAACAGAUGGGCUCACGGUGCAGCAGCAUGCAUUGGAAAGCUCAACCCAUCAUCUUUCAAUUCUCCGAGUCCUUUUCAGAGAAGUCAAGCUCCAGCUGUUCGAUUGGAGUCUAAAAUGCUUAUUGUACACGAUCAUGUAAACUGAUUCGUGGCCUGACUCGAUUCUGAUAGGUAUUACCGAAUUGUGACCAGCGAUUUAGCAAAAUCCAAAUAGUUUAGUUUGUUUCCUCACAAAGAUUAGGUUUGACAGAAAGCUGCAUGCUAAACUGACGAGUGGGCAUGCACUUGGCUCUUGUUCUUUGCCACCAGCAGCUUUGCGAAAGAGGUUCUUUUGUAGAGUACUACGUUAGUGAUCGGUCCCUGUCACCGAUAACGGAGUCCGGUUUGUAGCCAGAUUACGGUGGCGUCGCUUUCAUACUUUCACAUAAUCGACCCCUCUAAGAAGCUAAGUUCACCACACUGGUUCUUCACGGCUCUCUGCAGCUACCAAACAGAACCACUCAGUAGGUUUGGUGGCCUCACAAGCAUGCUUAGUUCUCUGGCGUAGAGCUAGAUCGAAAGAAACCAGAUCGCCCUGAAUUCACGGUGCAUACCGCUCCCAAGGAACACCACCACUCCCAAGGACAGAUGGAAGAAGAUGAAGCUGGACGGACCGAGGAAGUCGAAGCGGAGGAGGAAGACGAAGCGAUACGGACGAGACGAGAGGAUAAGAUUGCGGAGCUGCGGUUCACGCGCUUUGACCUGUGGGACCCACGUCCAGGGGCUCUCGCGUUAGAGAUAAGCAGAGAGUACCCUCUCUCUAGUCACCUCCAUUUUUUUUUUGAGUGGCUACUGCAGGACCAACGAAUGGAUCAAUGGGUCACGGAAGGAAUGGAUCCACAUAUUGACACGUGCGUUACUACGGGCAAAGUGUAUGUGUAUACAUUAUCGAUUGCUUUUACGAUUCUAAACAAUAACGCUGUAUAUCCCAUGCAAUCUCAGCCGUUUAACGAUGAUAUGACGAUCACAACACCACGAAUCUAAUCCUGAUAAAUAAAAAAAACAAUCCACAAGCCAAUUCCAUGAAACCCUGGCUUCAACUUCUUCUCUUUCAAGUUUUACAAGAGGAACCGGUGCGACUGCCAGUUCUCCGCGUUCGGUUUUUCACUCUUCCACUUGGCCCCGAAUUCACAAUGCAUCCCACUCCGAUCCGAUCCGAUCCCCAGCAAGAACACACCCCCGUCCAUGUCUUCCUUGCCGCUCUCCUCUUCUCUCAUUCUAGUUGCCCCCUCUCCUCCUCUCUCUCAUUCUCGUCUUAUUAGCAGGUAUAUGUGGACAAAGUCUCCAUUUUCAGGCACCUCGAGAGGAGCCGGAGAGGUGAAGUAUUUGUAGGGCCGGCGGGGAGUGAGCGACUUGAGUUCCUCACCCACCAGCCGGGCCACGGCCACAAUUUGAUCUUGUCAUGCCCAGCAUGUACAUGCUCCAAGACAAUAUUGGCAAAAAAAAACAAGGCGAGGACGGUUGCUUGACGAACAUUCAACACAUCUUUUGUACACGGAGUGAGUGACUUGAGUGUUCCUCACCCACCAGCCGGGCCACGAGCCCACAACCGUAUAUAAUUUGAUCUUGCUAUGCUCAGCAUGUAGUACAUUCUUCAAGGCAAUAUUGGCAAUCAUUCAGGAGUAGUAGUAACGAAAACAAGACGAACAUUCAACAGAUCUUCUACCCACAUUACUAUUCCGGGCGGCCACAACUGGGAUCACGAAACCGAUUCACUAUCAGUCUAUCAUGCAUGAUAUGGCUGCCUGUAUGAAAUCUGGAGAAUUAUUAUCAACUAGCAUUACGAUUUACAAAUUUGCAAUGCAAGUUGGACACCAUCCUCCGGCAGCAGCCUAGCACCUACAGCAGGCAGCAUCUGAGGUCCGCGCAUGAGGCUCAAGCGACCAGGAUCAACAGGCGCAUACAUGUAUGGAUGCAAGCAGACGCAGCCAUGCGCUGGGCAUUGAAGAGUUCCUCAGGUGAGGGCCCUAACCUGGCUCCGCCGCUUCAGGGGACAGCUCUGUCGUGGCUCCGCCACUGUACCCAACCAUUGUUGCUGCCCUGCAUGUUCGUCUACAAAAGAUGGAGCCACCAUUGCGUCCUCCUCUCCGAAUUCCUAUUGCAUCUCACUCCCAUGACACACACCGACGGCGCUCUACAUUUCCGUGUCUGCUUCUCCCACUCUUCUUGGAAGCCGAGUGGUAUGACGAACCACAUUUGCAGCUUCAAUUGUUGGUGACGGCGCAGUGAGAAGCUAGUACCUAUUUAUAAGGUAGGAUGCAGAGCGACUGACUUCAGACCGACCGGACAAAGGCGGCGCCUGCUUCGUGUUGUUGGGCUAAUGCAUGGCUACGUGGGCUGUGUUCCUGUUGGGCUCCAACAACGCAGCCUAGAAUUGUAGUAACGCACCCGACAAAUAAACAGGCGUGACCUUUUUUCCCCCUCUCUACUUUUGUACCACAUGGGCAGGUAAAAUGGGUCUAGCAUCGUUCAUAUGUGAACAUGCAACCAUUGCCACCAGACCGCGUGGAAGGCGUGGUUAGCAAACUCUCAUAUGAAUUAUUGGGAUAAAAUUCAUGAAGCACACUAAAUGAUGUGCUUAGCCUUUUUGUUUCUGAUCUUUUUUUUUGUUUUCAAGAAACAUUUGUCUUCCUUUCAAAAAAAAGAGAAACAAUUGUCGUCCAAUGAUGAUCUCAACUACCCAAGAGUAAAGAAAAACAGGAAAAGAAUUAGUUUCCUCCCUCCCCUGCCGAGUGACCAUUUUCUUUUUUCAAGAAACAUUUGUCGUCCAAUGAUGCUUUCAAUUAUCCAAGAGUAAAGAAAAACAAGAAAAGAAGUUUCCUCAGCUCGCCCGGCCCAGUCGCGCGCACAAAACGCAGUAGCGCGGCCCGCAUGAUGGGCCUGCCGAGCACUUCCGAAGAAAGCCGUGAGAUUACAGCCUGUAUGAAAUCUGGACAGAUUUAGGGCUGCUGCGAGCCUGCGACUAUGAAUGACACAGAUAAUUCAACAUUCCAACAUACUGCAGUACAAAACCACCUCAGUAUCAUGAGAUGCCUGACUGCACGUUAUCUGGAUGAUUUUCACAUAAUUUGGACACAGCACAAGGCAACAAGCCCUAGUUAGCUAGGCAGGGAUCGAAAACCAGAGCCGCACUUGAACCUGAACAACCCAACACGCAAUAUCCAAAAGAAUCGAUCAUAAGCUAACAGUUGGAUGUACAUCUACCAGUAUUGUUAGCUUCUAUAACGUUACUGAAGCGGAAUGUAACCAGACGAGCAAAACAGCAUUGUACAAACCCAUGUCAUGCUAGAGUUAACCCUGUAACUUAAAAGGCUAAUGCAAACCUAUACAAAAUCUAAUCAACCCUGUCAAGAUGAAUCCCCUUGCAGCAUAUACAAAAUAAGGAUUGCAACCGACUGUUAGAAGCAAUUUGAAAGAAUGAAUCAUCAGGUUGUCUUGUUUGAUCUGGUGCAAUAUCUAAGGCUCCACAAAAGAAAUCAUGGGGAAAGGGAAUGCCUCCUCAUGCUUGCCGGUGGCAGUGACUGCUAUCUCCUUCCUGCUCAGAUGGAGAAUAAACAAGAUGAGUACCAACUGAAAAGAAUAUGAUUGCUCGCAUGUGGAGUAUACUGGGGGAAUAAACUCUGCUUUUUGUGAAUUUGGCAACUUGAUAUUGUAUGGAAUUACUAUAGACCAACAGAUAGGUUGACAGAAAUGGAAAGAAAAUCAGCAUAACAUGUUUGCAAUGUGCAGUGCUAAUCAUCAUUAGGUGAUUAAUUCUGUUCGAAAAACUGUGGGACAAGAUUAACACAUGUUGUUUCUUUGAAUGGGGUGGCUAUGACAUCCACCAUCAACAUGUGCUGCUUAAAUACAACGCAUAGAAAACUUUGCAACUUCAAAUUCAGACAUAGCAAUUAAGCAUUGUCCAUUUCAAAUAUCUGCCACAAACCAUCACUACACAGUGAUUAUUGAACUUUGGACAGAACAAGGAAAAAGAACAUGUUAAAUAUUCCAAGGAAAAGAUGUGUGUAAAGCAAAAUUGAGACUCACCUUGAAUGUCAUAUAUAUACCAGCCACUUGGAGAUAUCCAAAUCAUUGCACAAUCUUAAGCAACAUUACUCCAACAUUCUGAGCGGUAAUGUGAAGCAUGGGAAGGAAAUGGUACCUAACUAAUCCCUAGGUCAGCCCUAUUGAGAAUGUUAUAGCUUAACCUCGAGUCAAUUAUUCUUCUGCUUAGCUAGUCCGAUCAGAAUAUUUCCCUAAGGAAAUCCAAAAAUAGCCUUUUCCUUAUUAUAGAUUACUGCUAUGAGGCAAUUUGAGUUGACAGUCAGCAGAAUUUUCAACCAGAGCAGCAGCAAGCAACAAACGGGGGAGCUAAGGGCACUCAUGCUGAGGGUUUGAAGUCCUUUGACUGAGUACACUAUAAAGUCACUACCACCUGAAAGUCAAUGUCAUGCUCAGCAGGAACAGCCUUCUCAGAAUCAUCCUUGGAUGGCAAAACAAGAGAUUCCUUGACCGGACCAGUUUCAGGUGUAACGACCAACGCCUCUUUGCCAGAUAUUCUAAUGUUGUUGAAGUGUUCAGCUAGAAAAUCACCUGAAUCUUUUGGGAUUCUAUUAUUCUCCAGCUCUUCCAAGUUGUUAUGAUUAUCAAGCUUCAGGCUAUUAAAACCAUCGAGUUCCAUAUGACAUCGUGUUUCUUCAGCAGCAAACUUGCUACUUGCAAUACCAUCAAGCUCCCCUUGACUGUUAUGGUCAUUGAGCCCUUUCCAAUUGUACUGUCCAUCUAGUUCGUUCAGAUAACUAUGAUUCUUAAGCUCUUUGUCAGUUCUACAGCUGUCAAGAUCGUUCAGAUUGAUGUGAUUGUUGAGCUCUUUCAGACAAUUAUCGUCACCAGGCUCUUUCUCAGAGCCAGGACUGUCAAGCUCUUUCACUUCAUUAUGGGCAUCUAGCUCUUUCAAACUUUUAUUAGCAUCCAGUUCUUUCUCGAUGCUAUGAGUAUCAACCUCUUUCAGAUUGCUAUGAUCAUUCAGCUCCUCUAGAGAACUAUUAUCACUGAGCACUUUCUCAGCAAUAUGACCAUUGAGCCGUCUCUCAAUGUCAACCUCCUUCAGAUUACUAUGAUCAUGAUCUUUCUGACUACCAUGAGCAUCAAGAUCUUUUGAACAACUGGGGUCCUCGUCCUCUACAAACUUGUCGAUGCUGUGCUCCUCAUCCUCUACAAACUUGAUGCCGUGAUCCUUAUCUGAUUCAGUCUGUGCAUAUGGACAGACAGGUAAACUUCUCAGACGGCAUCUAUGGCACUUGAAACCAAUGAGAUUGUUCACAUUCUCAACGGUAACAGAGUAUAUAUCCCCAUGAAACCAAUCUGAAAGCAAAAGCAAAUGUAAUAAGGAUUAUGGGAUGCAAAAUAUGAAAACUUCCCAACACAUGAAGAGCAACAAAGAAAAAUCAUACACAUCCAACAUAUAAAACUGCAACAACAAUUACUUGUGACUAGUGCUCCUAUGUUCUUCCAAGUGAAAAUCACAGAUUUCUACUACUCUACAAACAAUACACUUUGCAAUUUGUUUAAAUUAAUUUGUAGGACAUAAGAGCACUACUGCUUCCUUGCUGAGUCGUGAGGAAGGAUGCUCCUUUGCACAGACAACACAACCAGACAGAAAUACUUAAAAGUAGCUUAGAACAAAAGAAAAAUAAUACCUCGGUUCUUUCAUUCUUUUUUGUUGUUUAGCUAUUCAAAAGUGUGUAGUUAUAGGAUUUCGAGUACUUGCAUCUACUCCAUUUAAAGAUUGAUAUGUUUUUCCAUUUAAUUCCUCGUUGGUUGCCACAGGUGGUUGCGGAAACAAACUCAAUGAAGCACUCCUUCCGUUUCUACUUGGCACUUUUGACCAACUGCAUGCAUAUUUAGGCAAUCAUAUUUUGAAUUGGGUUGGACAAUUACCCUUGUAACAGCUGCCCAACCUAACUACUGGUGCCAGCUGAAAAAUGUUUUCCUCCACUCUCAGCAUAAGUGCAAGAACACGAGUCAUCUCAUUGGUCCCAGUGUUAGCCGCAAUUUUGUUUUCCCUCUAAAAAGUCUGCAAUUAUUUUCUUUCAAGCUUUGCAAUGCUACGAAGAAACAUUCAACACAGCAUUGGAACUGGAUAAUUUGUAAAAGCUGCCUAAACGAGCUGCUGGUGCCAGCUGAAAAAUGUUCUCUUCCGUUCUCUGGAUAUGCGCAAGCACAUGUGCCAUCUCAUUGGUGCCAAUGUUACCGCAGCUUUUGUUUUUUCCUAUAAAAAAAAGGCUGCAAUGCUUUCCUUUUCGAGCUUUGGAAUAUCGCUGACUAGCGCAGUGGCACGGCUACACCUCUUGAUUGAUCACAAUGACAAAACUGGAAAAUGACGCAUUGGCAAAUACGUGGUGCGCCAAAAAUUUGGGGAAGGAAAACUCGGUCACAUGUGCCAAGUAUUAUGAAGCAGAGGGUGUAGUACGCAACACAGCUUUAGUAGGGAGAGGGACAUGUAGAACUUUCCAUAAUAACCGUGCCCAAGGCUAAAACGACAAAAAAACAAACAGAAGGGGUAAUAGUCAAAUAGUUUCAAAGAGGAUGAUCGCCUAAAUAGGUAGGUGCCUACUGUACACACUAUGUAAUAAAAACACAUAAUAAAGAAGAUUGUUUUUUCUCACAUAAUAGCUAACUGACCAUGAAGUUGUUCUAAGAUCACAAAGAGAUGUCAUGCAAGCAAAGCUCUGCUUACCUUCACAUUUUUCACAAGCAAUAUAAAUAUCCUCUUCACUGUAGCAUUUGUCACACAAACAGCAUACUGGGCUGACUUCAGACAUUUCAGCAUCUUCGGAUGGAAAAACUACUCUUUCUUUCCUGAAACUUAUUGCCCGUUCAUCAUGUGGAUUUUGUGUCCAUCGAAGGCCAUUUAACCAGUAUGAAUACUGCAAAGCAGUCCGCUUCCUCUUGCGACAGCUAGCUGCAUGCUCGGAUACGUUUGAGCUGCCUUUCAUGUACUUAUCAUACAAUCGUUUUGAUAUACGUUUCACUGGUUCAUUUUUGGGCACAUUGGAAGAUUCACUCUCACGCAUCUUGGGUAAUUCACUCUUUGAUGGAUCCAGUGGGUACUUCCUAGGCCGACCACGCUUACCCUUUUUGCCAAUUUUCUUCUUGUAUUUGAGAACAAUCUGAUUUCUCCUAGUCACAAUCUUGUGUGAUCGCUUCUUUUGUUUCUUUUGCUUCUUUUUGGGAGAUGACUUCUUUGGUGCAGCCUUUUUCUGAGGAGACUUCACCUUUAAGACCUUUUCAGCUAAGCACUUGUUGCAAACAUAAACAGUAUCUGCAGCACCUCUAGGAACCUUGAAAUGUUUUCUAUGGAAAAGAGCUGCAUCGGAUAAGAUAAAGUACAUAAGUGACAAACUUAGGAAUAACUGCAAAUAAAACUCCACGCAUCAACAACCCAAGUAAAAGGAAAAAACUUAACAGUUGAUGAUUGAUUAGCUAGUGCAAUAUUAACAGUCGAUGGAAAUUUCUUUUAUCCAAUGGCAACAUAGGAGACCACAGAAAAUGCAUGUAAAAAUAAGAACUUGAGGGUUAUAGUUAUGCAUAUGCAAAACGACAAAGAUGUGCACGUGCAACAGGGCAUACCUGCGCAAUACUGGCAGUUCACAGCUUCCCUGUUGAAAAAGAGAUUGAAAGAGUCAGAUUAACUAGUCAAAAGAAUUUACUAUGAUACAAAAGAAGCAAAUAACAAAUAUAUUGCCACAUUUAGAACACGAUGCAAGAGUUUACUGGCCAAACAAAUAGCUGCAAGAAUCAAAAACUACCAUACACAGUUCCUAUAUAUAGCAUAACUGAUCUGAUGUGCCCCUGAAAUCCAUAUGUGCUCUGGUCCCGUUUGGAGGCAAAGGGUGUGUUAGUUUUUCCUUUCUAGUUGUUACUCUGCUGUUGUCUUACUCAUGUGUAUGUCGCUGAGUUACUUUGAACUCUAAACUCUGACCAUUUUGGUCCUAUUGCAAUGUAAAUGGGCCGGGGGUCACCCCUAGAACUCUAGAAAAAUAUAUACCAUAACAAGCUUUCCAGAGUAAUUAGCUCACUUGAAUAACUUGUUCAGAAAUAGCACCACAAGUUAGAUUGGUAAUCAUGCACCUAGACGGUUUAGAAAACAACACUAAAUUCUAACACAGCACAAUUUAAUAAGGUAAGAAACCUAUUAACACACUGGCUGGUAAACACUCCUAGAAAAGUAUAAUGAUUGUAUCUGAAUGUGUGUGUAAGUGUGUGGUGGUGGUGGUGUGUGUGUGUGGGGGGGGGGGGGGGGGGGUGUUGAAGGUUUAUAGCAGAUCAGUUUUUGCAAGGCAUAUAUAAGUAUAAAAGAGUUAAAAAUGCCACUGUACCGAGGCCCUAAUCUGCGUAUCGCAGCUAUCUAACACAUACUGCAUCCUAACAGCGGAUACGAAACAUUACAACAGCACAUCACUCAUGCAUUGUACUGAGUAGCAACAGAUAUUGGCAUAACAAAAUAAUCCAAAAUCGUGAAAAAAAAUCUUAUAUCUAUAACGUUCACAACUUGGACAAAAUUUAUAAGUUUAACUAGUUUGUUUGAACUGAGCUAAACCUUAAGCAAUUGCUGCUAAUAAUUGAUAGGGUUAGGGUGAGUAUGCUGUGGUUGAGAAAAAAUAAAUAAAAGAAACUAUUAGAAGGGAGAGGAAAAAGGUAAGUGUCAUACCUUGCAACCACUUCCUUGUUACAAUGACCACAAAGCCUGGUGGAUUGCUUUUCUGCUCUUUCAAAGAGGUAAGCAAACCCGGUCUUUUUUGGCAUUUUGGGUUUGGAGUCACGCACCUUCUUAGUCUUCUUAGGAAGUUCAUCAGUUUCCUUCUUUUUCAGCAGGCGAGCAAACGCUUUGGCUUCAUAUGCCUUCAAUAGAUUCAGAGGGACAUGGCCUUCACUUAACCAGUACCUGUUCCUCUCGCUAGAGGGAUCCUCAAAUUUUGUUCCGUGUUUAGAAAUAACAGGAGGAAUGUUCUCUCUCUUUCCAAAAUCAAGUAGAUAUUCAACAUUUGUUCCUUCUAUGCGUUUUCUUCGAAUUAUAACUUUCUUAAAAAGCCUUGCUAUUUUCUGCAUUUCCUUGGUCAUGAGGCUAGAAGGGAGAGUGCUCAGUAUCUCAGUCCACUUGAUAUUCCAUUCAAGCUCUUUAAUCUGCAGGUACACGAGGAGAACAAUUUAAUGACCAAAUUUUACUGAUUGUUUUUCAAAACAAGCUAUUACCUGCAAAAUGAGCUGGGCCACAUUUUCUGCCAUUUCCACAGCAGCUCGCCAAGCAAUGUAUUUGAACCUCCGAGCAAAUUGUGAACCAUCGGUGUACAAAAUCGUUGGAAUUUUCCUACGUCCCGCUGAAGUAUACCAGGUCAAAAAGGUUUAGCACAAAUACAAUAGUAGCAAAAAUCUAAAAAUUGACAGAAGGUUGGUUUGGUCAUAAACCUUGCCGAGCAGCUUUGUAGACCAGUGACUGAGGCAACCUCUUCCAAUGAAACACUUGACGAGAUAAUUUUCCGCCCCUCCACCAAUAAACACCAACAUUACGAGAGUCAACUUUAAGUUCACCAUUAGAAGAUGGUUUCCUCCCUGGCUUUCUAGCAGUUCCAUGACUUAGAGAUUUAUUAGAUGAACGGACCAAUAUGUGAGCUGCAGAACCAACCACUUCAACAGAGUCUGCCGGUUUCUGCCAUUCCAUAGAAAUGGCAACACGUCGCAGACUGGACUCUAACUGCAGAGUAUGGCAGAAAAGUAUGUAUCAUUGUAGGGUAUACAGAAUUAGGAAAAAAAAAACAUAAGACAGAAGCAUAUGACAAGUUAUACCAUUAGAAGAGGCUGCUUAAGUGAUGAUACAUCUGCAGCCUUGAGAACCUCCUUACGCCAAUAUAUGCGAUAUUGUGGAUUUUGCCAAGGACCAGUCAGCAGACCAUUCAACCUUUCUUCAAUUGACAAAAUGUUAUGCAUAGCAAGGAUGAUAUGACUUUCCAUAUUUUUUUCUGCUUCGACACCCAAAGCAUGUGGCUUGGUGCCUUCCAUGCAUUUAACAUCAGUUACUCUGAAAAUGCAGUCAACGCCGCCACUGAUUUGACAGGAGUUGCACCAUCCACACUUUUCUUUAAGCAGCUCGACAGAAAGCUUUUGAUCAGUUAGUGCAAAAAUGUUAGCAUAUUUUUUACAUAUUGUUCUCAGAUGGAAAGAGAGUGCAUCCUGAACAGGUUUCUUCCCUUCCUUGUUUUCAGACAGCUUGUGUUUUAGCUCUUCAGCAGCUGAAGCUGCUAUUUGACCAAAGCUGUAAUAGUUUAUGUACCUAGCAAGAUCUGAAUGGAGAUGCCAAUAACUUUGCUUUUUCUUAGGUGGUGAAUCUUUCUGAUUCUCUGCAGAUAAACCAUUACCAUGUGAAUGAACGUCUUCCUGGGAAUUGCAGUGAUCAUUCUUAGCACUAGAGGAUCCAUUUUGAGGUAUUUGAUUUGAAUCACCUUCAGCAGCAUUUUCACUUCGAGACAUAAGUGCAGAUCUAAAUGUGAUGCUCCGGAGUGACAAAUCUUGAUCCAAUUGAUCAGAAUUUGAGGUGCAAGCUUUCCCAGAAUCCAAUUGUUCAAAGGAGUUGUCCUGUUCUACCUUAAACUGGUCAUGUUCACUACGUUGCUUCAGUCGUGAUGAAAGUCUGCAGUUUGUCUCAGCAUCAGAUGUACUACAUUCCCUGCUACUCUGAUACCGACCGUUAAGAUUGGGUGACUCGAUUGCAGUACCGUAAAACGAAGAUAUUGUAUUAACAAUUGAUCCGUACGACGGAUGACAUGUGUUCAACACUGUAACAAGGGAAUGAAGAUCGACCUGGCCAUAGUAAUGACAUGGAGGGCUCCCCUCAUAUGAGUCAAUCCUGCAAGUUCAGAGGGUCUUUGUUUAUUAAUGUAGCAAGAAGUAACUAUCUGAUACAUACAGGAUCGAUCAGAGAGUAAACACAUCAUGUCUCACUUCUGCAAUAUGAAUUGCUCACUUUUCGGCAAACCCUUAAUCAAUGAGCCUACAGUAUCAUAACAACUGGAUCUUACUAAAUCAGGGUAUCACAAAUUUCCUUGUUUUAUUCCAGAGAAUCUUAAUACAGCAUAGUCUUCCAUCUUUUAGGAAAAAGUGCUAGUACAUAGCACAGAAAUUGUAUUUUCUUGUGGUCUCGUACAACAUCAAGGUAUGAGUAUGACCAUACCCUGGGUUAUUCAGUAAGUUCAACUUUUUUCGCACCUCUAAGCAAGAAAAACAAGAAAUAUGUAUGUUCUGCCUAGCAUGUCGAAAGUCAAACCAUUGCUAAUCCCACAAUGUAUUCCUAGGCCCACAUGUCCCUAGCAGCUUUUAUAGAAAUAAUCAUAUGAUUGUUGCAGCUUACAUGUUCUAUGGACAGGUGCCACCCAGAAGAAACAAGAGAAAUAGAGCAUCCUAGGUGAAGCUCAUAGACAAGAGAAAAAUGUUAAAGCUUACAUUAUUGUUCCUCAAUCCUAAGGUGACUUUAUUAUCUGAAUGGUAGAGUACUAGAGCGAUGCAAUCUUCACACUUAGAUUUUGUACGGUACAGGAUGGCAAUGUAGCAGAGGAAUACUCAAAUUCACACAGAGCCCCAAAAAAAACAUGGAAGGGAUAGAUGGUGACUUACACCAAAAGAUAGCCGCAAGUGCCGAAGUAUAGUCGGCCAUGUGGAUCAAUUCCCAGAACCUCUGCUCCUCUCAUAGGACUUGCCAUAUUUCUAGAUCCAUCAUUCUUCUGUAUUAAACAUUCAGGACAAUACCAAUCACCUUCAGGCAAUAGAUCCUCCACCACCCCCACACAUUUUGAAUGAAAGGCAGCUGGACAGCCAUCACAGCAUAACAAAUUACCAUCCAUGCCACAAAGAUAACAUUCAUCACUAUUACCAUCAUCCAUUUCAUCAGAGCCUUCUGGAGGCUGAGAAGAAUCCGCUGCACCCUUGGCAGAAGAGGCCCUCUUUUUUCUUCUUAAACCAGUGCUUCUGAAGCCCUCAUCAUUUCCAUCCAACUCUGACAUCCUUGACCGUAUAGCCCCAAUCGCCAGAACAUCAUCAGAGAGUGAAUGCAGCAGCUCGAGUUUUACCACUGCAGGCUGCCUGUAGUACUCUGUACUCAACAGCUUUAAAUCUGUAAGCUUCAUACCAUACCUCAAUUCCGUGCCCCUGGUUAGCAAGUAUUCAGCAAGAUAGAUUGGCCAAGUUGCUAGGUCUAACAGCUCCCAGUUAAGAUUCCUACAAAGACAAUAUAGUGGGUAACUUGAGAAACAUAUUUUUCAUCACGUAGAGCUCUCUAAGCUUAGGAUACAGAGAAGGGCAUUUUACCUAAUGCAGUGCACUGCCGACGGGUCUCCUUCAUUGGCGAAAUCUUCCAGGUGGCUCUUGAGAGCUCUCAGCAGAGCGAAAUGCACCCAGUCAAUCAAAGGAUUCGCAUGCGUGCAAUGCAGCGCAGCCACAAAUGUGUCCAGUGGAAAUGGGCUCAGGAAUAGCUGCCUGCUAAAUGACCUUAAGCAGGAGUAGACUUGAAAGACGUCGAGGACAGGGAGGCCACCCAAAUCUAAACCCUGCGAUGACGGUGGCAGCUCAGGUUUAGGUGGCAGUGCCGGCUUCAGCUUCGGCGACGGUUUCUUCACCACAGCUUCCUCCAAAUCCCUGGAGACAGAGCGAUAACGCCCACUUCCAUUUGCACGGGGACGCUUCCUCCCAGACUGCUGCGGCGUGGAAGCAGCCGCCGCCUCAGCCUCAGCGGCCUCCGCAGCAGCCGCCACAGCCGCCGCGGCCUCCAUCUCAGCCGCCCGCUCGGCCGCCUUCGCCUGCCGCGCGCUCCGCCGCAGCGGCCUGGACGACGACACGGGCCCGGGGCUGAUCCUCCGCUUCUUCUCCGCCGCCGCCGCCUCCCCGCUCGCCUCGGCCGGCGUCGCGGGCUCGGUUUCCCCAUCCGACGACCCGCCGCCCGCGGGGACCGCCAGCACGACGCCGUCCCCCGGCGGCGCGGCCUUGGCCGGGGACGGGGACUCAUCAUCCCCGCGCCGGCGCUUCUUCGGGCGCCUCCCCGCGGCGUCCCGCUGCGGUGUCCGCUGCAGCGCCUCCGGCAUCGCGGGGCCGACGAGUAUCUCGGCCAUCUCGUCGGCGUCGACCUCCUCCGAGUCCCCGUCCUCGUAGAGCACGCGGAAGUAGCCCGCGUCGGCGUCGUAGGACUCGACGACGCCGGCGUAGGUCCCGAACCCCGGGAACGCCUUCCUGACCGCCCUCCCCACCAGCGCCUCCAUCCCGCCCCGCCCCGCCCCGAGCGGAAUUCCUAGGGUUUGGGGCGCGGGGAGGCCAGCGCGGCGGCGGAUCGGGCGCGGCAGCCGGGGUACGGGCGGGAUCGGCGGGCGAUUAGGGCUUGCGGGGGCUGGGAAUUUCGGGUUCGCUGGCGUCCGUAGAGGGGGAAGGGGAAGGAGAAGGUGGGGGGAGAGGAAGAGGAAGGAGACGAGAGGCGUGUUAUAUCUGGCUCGGGCUGCGACUCCUUUCGGUUAGUACUGCGGAGGAGAGAAUGGAAUGGGACGAGACGAGAUGUGCGUGUGCGUCGAGUAGAGAGGGUUUUGGGAGGGAAAAUGUUUGGCUCCACCGUGACAUGGGAAGUGCCUUCGUUUGAUUUGAAAUGGAAAAUCUGGAUGGAGCUCGAGUCCACCGGGGGGUAGUCAGACAGAAUUUUGCUAUUCUCGUACUGUGGGUAAAGGUGUACUACUUCAGUACACUCGCUUUGUUGCCUAGAACGGUGGUGUUGCUAAACACUUUGCCCUGGGCCAAUAGCGUUGCUAACAAACUUCUCCUCUCGUGCAAAUUUAACAUAGAGAAAUGCUAAGUAUUUUUCUUAUUAUCUUUUUUAAAGAAAAAUAUGUAGAAAUUGUAAGCACGGUCGUUACACGGAGGAAGUUCGUGGUUACCAUGCUUGUCAACUUCUUCAUGGCGCCGUCAUUUUCUAUGGCGAACGACUUUUUCAGUACAACAUUUGUCUUUCUCCGAUGAAUUUAGGACUUUUAUGGUUAGAGUGUUAGGUUUUAAAUUUUGUUGGAAGGUCUUUUACAAAUAUGAUCACGAAGGUUAUAUGGCUUUAGUGUGAUGGCUAAAAUAUUGCUUACCAUGAUGGUGGUCGAUCAUCAGUGUGCAAGAUUAAUCGUUUGGUGACUAGAUCAGACUCAUCAGGAUGAAUUAUUAUAGACAUGAUGGGUCACCAAAGACGAGGAACAAGGCUGGUAUAGAGGAGGCAGAGAGAGGAGUCGAUUUAGAGUAGAGGACUUCUAGAGAGCCUCAUUGGAGAAGAGAAUUUUUGAGGCGAUGAUGGCGGCAAUUGGGAGCACAAAGAGAAAGAACACAUGAGUGCAUGUGAGGAGGUAGUAAGAUGAACCUAGUCGUGAGAUAGAUAGGGGUUUAGAGUUAAAAAUUAGAUCCAAAUACACUCUAAACUAAAAAGAAUUCGAGUCAAAAAAAUUUAUGCAUAACUUUAGUUACAACAUAGCUAGAUUCAGAACAAAUUUAAUGUGCAAUAAAGAAGACAUCAUAUAAACAUGUACAUUAGAGUAGGGUGUGAGCUCAUACGUGGAUACCAAAUCGAUGGCAAAUGAUGAUGGAGAUUACCGUCGAAUGAUGAUGGGUAGGAUGGUUAGCAGAAGUGACGAUGGCAAUAUGAUUGUGUUCAUGGGAUGCGCCUAUGGGUAUCAAUAUGGGAUGCAAUAGUAAGGAAGAUAGAUAUGCAUAAGGCAACUCGGGAGCGAUGCUUACACAAGUUUUAAAAAAAUGGGGUCCAAAAUUCAUCUAUUAUGAUUAUAUUUUGAGGAUUGCUAGAAUCUUUUAUGCCAAAUAAUACAUGGAUUCAAAUCUCUAACCUUUCGAUCCAUGGCAACAUUCGUGAUGAACACCUUCUGCUCCAUCUCCAGUAGUUAUAUAUUUUCGAUAGGGGGGAGGAGAUGGGCGCCUUAAGCCCCUUAGAGCAACUCCAGCAAAGUCCUUACUUGAACCCUUACUCAAAAAGUAGGGACCGAGAGAAAAAAAACGCACUCCAGCAGAGCCCCUACUCGGAUCUCUAUUAUAGGGAGGACCCUGCUUCCCCCUUCAGCCCCUUCUCCUACGGGUGGAGGGAGAACCCUCUACUUUUCUAUUUCGUUCGUUUCUCCUAGCGCACUUGCAUGGACUGCUCCUCUUCCGCCAGCUACCACCUCAAGCAAGGGCACUGGCACAAAUCGAGCAAGGGCACCGACGGUACCUUGAGCAAGGGCGGGCCUGAGCUUGUAGCGGCGCUGGCUCAACGGAUGCAGAGCCGGGGUGAGGGCAGGCCCGGCCCUGGGGGGGGGGGGGGGGUUCGAGCAGUGCGGCCGCCCUGGGCCCAAAAAACGGAGGGCCCAUCCCCAUGUAUACAUACGUAUAGGGUAUUGAGCUCCUGCUUUCUUACCUGCGUGGUUCAGACUUCAGACGUUCAGUUAAUCAGUUGGGCUAGGCCCAUAGGCUGAUGAGCACAAACAGCAGGCCAGCAGCUAAAUUCAUGAAGGCACGAACUGACGAACGGAUCGAUCAUGAAUCAUCGAUGACUGUUCGCAUGCUGCCGAAACCCUAACGCCUGAGUCUUGACGCGACGCCUGACGACAGACUAGCGAGUGGCGACUCCUCAUCUCCUCUGCAGCUCCGCGCGUGCCUCCGCCGAAACCCUGAGUCCCUGACGCGGUGAGUGCUGCCGCCGGUGACGCUGACGGGCGACGGCCUGGCUGUGCGGUGCCUGUAUGCAUGUAUCAUUGUAUGCUUGUAUCCUUGUCCGCUCCCUCUGCCUGAUCCCGUGAUCUGAUCUCCAGGAACUCGCCUCCGACCGUCCGACGCCGACAAACACAGAAACACCAUAGGCAGCCACCGAGCCACGGCCAGAAGUAAAAUAGGUAACACAAACUUGCCGAUAUUCGAAGUUCAAAACUCAUUGUAACUUAUAUAAUUUACUAAUAAUUUGAUUAAGUCGAUCCCAUCUAAUAACUUGCCCCCUUAUAGAAAUUGUUGGAUCAGAUCGAUAUUGAUGCCAUCAUCAAUGACUUCGCAUUUACAAAUGUUAGAAGAAAUUUUUGAUGUAAUAUAAAUUGCUUGAUAUGAAUAUUAGUUUUGGACACAUGAUUUAAAUGUUUUAUUAUAAUUAUUACUGCCUUUACUACUUUUAUUAGUAUAGGUCCCUCUUUUACUUUCGCACCAGGUCACAAAAGUCUCAGGACCGGGCCUGGGUGAGGGACAAGGAGCGGUGGCGUCGUGAGCUCGAGCGCCACAGGCCUUCGUCGGGACCGACCACGGCACCCCGACUCCGCCGCACCGGCCGCCGUGCUCCUGCUCCGCACCACCACGCGUGCUAGGGCCUGCUCCUUGCGCCGCCGCGCGGGCUAUCAUGUGGGAGCUGCAGCGCUGCCAUGACCGUGGCCUAGACUUGGAGCACGAGAAAGUGGACGGGGAUGGCGAGAGCCGACGGGCUCAAGUGGUGGUUGGGGGCGAGAGGAAGAUGGCUGGGAAGGCAGGGAGAGAAUAGUGCGGUGAAGAGAGAGUAGAGAGAAGAAGAUGGGAGGGGAUAAAAGAGUUGGCUCACUUACAGGAGGGGCCCAUAUGUCAUGAAAGUAGGGGCCGUGAAGUAAGGACUGUUGUUGGGGUUGUGUAUUAAAGUCCCAAAAAGUUGGGUAGCCCCACUCAAUAAAGUAGGGAUUUGAAGUAGGGGUUAUUGCUGGAGUUGCUCACCGACUGUUGGAUUUUUGAUGUGUAUACAGUAUACGAGAGAGAAGCACAUCCUAGUCAAUUUUGUUAUGCGUCUACUUAUGUCCAUCUUCGAUGAACUCACGCGAACUCCAUGGAAUUUGUUAGCUAGACCGAAUACCUAGGGUUUAAAUCCAAGUUAUCGUUUGAGGCACGUAGCUAUUGGUCUUACAAAAACCCAGGAAAGGUUAAGAAACAUAUGGGCGGCAACAUUGCCGAAUUUACGCAUUUUGAAUUUCUUGAAAUUAUGUUGCGUUAGACCGAGCUGUUCGGUGCCUGGUAGGCGAAUAGGACCAACUUAUGUGUCAAGAUUCGAGUUUACCACAGUACUAAACACGGUCCAUUAGGUAGAUGUUUCUUAGGUAUUGGUUCGUGUAGUAAGUUCAGUAGCCGUUGCAAAUUCGAAAGCAGUAGGCCAGGUCACACGGACGAUGGCGCUCUGUUCACUCCCGCCACCUCUCUAGUUUCCCCGCCAAGGGCGAGCUGUGCUCAAAGUUGCGGCGCCGUGCCGAUAUGCUCUCAUCUUGGAAGCUCCUGUGGAGAAUUAAAAAGACAUACCACCUUGUUUGGAGAUAAGGUCACGAUUCAACAAUUCAUAUCAAUAGAGUCGAACACGAAGGAUUGUACAGUAGGAUUUACCUUGUCUAAACAUCCGGCCAUCAAAGCUUCGGAGUUCGCACCUUUGGUUGAUCUGACUGGUAUAACACCUGGUUUCCUAACAGUUCAGAGUUCGAGUACCACGAGCUGCGUUCGACCUGAACAUAACAGGUCCUGAUCCCAUGAGCCAAUCGGUGACAUUUCUCAAUAAUAACCCAUGAAUCUGACAGAAACUACUCUGAAAGGUGGCCCUGCCCUGGACCGACAACUGAAACAACAGGAUGCAAUCGCAGGAUAAUAAUCACCAUUUUUCCACAAUUAACAACAGCAUCCAUCUAUCCAAUCAUGAACAAAGAAACAUGUACAAGAACAUCCAUCAGGUGAACGCCCAUAUGAACAUCAAUAUUUGCUUGCCGUUACCACGAUAUCCCACUGAUAUAGGGUCAGAUUGUCCUAAAGCCCUAUAACUCGCACAAGAAACGGGAUGAUAGACCAGGUUCUACUUACAUAUGUACCUAUAUAAAUUAGCCUCCUCGGCAUCCGGCGAGCUGCUUCGAGCCUCUUAAAAAAGCACACAGCACCAGACGCCCAGGGCUCAGCACAAGACGUAGCGCACCCAUAAACAAUUGGCUGAUGAGCCCAGCGUCACUUCACAUGGGAGUCGUAGAUGUCAAGGACCGAUUCUGGGAUGACGGUGGGCAACUUGUCUAUGUACAUGAAGAGUCGCCUCAGGUUCUCUCUUCGGACCGUCGCCAUGUCGACGAUGUCCCUGUCAUCCGUGUAUAUCCACAGGUCAGCAGAGUUUACCCUCUUGAGGCUGUCACGGCAGAAUGGACAGGACUGAGACCUUGACCUCCUGUAGCAAUAUCAUAACAUGCUUAGAACAAUAGAGCUUAUAUAUAUAGUCGAAGAAGAAGUUCACUGGAAGAAUCUGAAAGAUAUAUUUGUAGGCUAGAUAGUGAUGGUCAGAUUGACACUAACAAAACCACAUACUACUUCUGCAUUGACACGUUAAUAACACACAAAGAAUGGCAAUAGUCCUUAUUUGGCUUGAUGCAACAUCACGGGCCUAUUUGGUUAGUACUAUAUUUGCCACACCUAAAUUUAGUCCAAAAAAAUCAAUGGGAGAAUCAGAAAGAUAUCGAACUUUGUAGGCUAGAUAGUGAUGGUCAGAUUGACUCUAACAAACCACAUGCUAAUUCUUCACUGAAAUGUUAAUAGCACACACAAAGAAUGACCAUUGCCCGUAUUUGGCUUCAUGGAACAUUUCCAACAAAAGGGCACUUUCAGCAGGCAUACAGAUGAAUGCUGAUCAGGGAACAAAAAUUAUCUUUCCUAUCCAAUUGCUAAUGCUAUAAGCUGAUAGCCAAGUUCAUAGCCAGAAGGCCUUUUGCCCUUCACAUAAAUUUAUUUAGGUUUUGUCUUGUUUCUGAAUAAUGAAAAUCCUACAUCCAAACAAAAGCAGGAGAUGACAUGACAUGUUCUAACUUGCAAGCAAACAAGCUGAACGGAUAUCUCAUGGAAAACACUCCAGAAUCACCAAAACAUAAGAACACAAUCGGACAAAUAUAGAGUAGUGGAAAGAAAUUUAGCGUCACUUAAGUCUUUUGUGUCCUUAAAUUCAGGACUAACCAAGAGAAGUCCAACACACAUGGGUCGUGGCCUCCUGUAGAACGUCACCACACGAUGUUGUUCCAAACUUGCUCCCUAUCUAGUUAAAAAUAAAUUGCUCGCUAUCUACCUCUUGGUUGCCUUGAGCUUUAUUAAUACCAGUAUUGUCAUUUUAUUUCUUGUAAGCUACAUCAGCGGAUUAUAAUUCAAGUCUACAGCACUCAUUCCUGAUUUCUGGUCUUGCGGCAAUGAAAAAGAAUUUACAAAAAAGUAGGGGAUGAAGUGAACAGUAAGGUUUCUAGUUCUUCCUCAAAAGUCAAAACUCUACCUCUGCUUCGUAAACCAUAGGAUCAUAAUCAUUACAUGCAGCGCUACUAAACAUCAAAGAGCAAGAAUGGCAGCUGAUAUUAAGUGGCUGUAAAAGAGAUCUGCAGCAGGUUUUUUUCCAGUACAGUUUGUUGCCCAGCUAAUCUCAUGUGAAGACAAAUAAACAGCUUAUCGAACACAGCAGCAUAAGGAAGGUCUCGGCAGCUAGCAAAGCAAAGUCACAGUAGAGCAGACCCUGUAGCUAUCUACCAAAAGUAGCCAGAUAAACAAAAUGGUACUUCUUUUCUGUUUGAUACCAACAAAUUCAUAUGUUGAUGACACAUCCAGCUUAUAUACAUGUAUCCAAGCAUUAUUGCAUUACAAUAGUAAUUUUUUCCCACAUAAAGAAGGC
rnacentral:lncRNA from 1 species